rnacentral:sRNA from 1 species
UGCGCGACGGACAGCGCUGCUCGGCAGGGAGCUUGAGCCAAGGAUUUUCAGGACGAUGAAGCCAGGAUGGCUGGACACGGAAGGCAUGAAGGGACUAAAGAGUGGGCCGGUUUACCGGCCCCUUUUUUU